rnacentral:lncRNA from 1 species
CUCUGCCUGGUUUUGGUAUCAGGAUGAUAUUAGCUUCAUAGAAUGGGUUUGGAAGCUUUCCCUCCUUUUCUAUUUCAUAGACUAAUUCGAGAAGUACUGGUAUUAGUUCUUCUUUGUAGGUCUUAUAGAGCUCAACUGUAAAAUGUCUGGUCCUGGGCUUUUCUUGGUUGGUAGACUUGUGAUUGCAUCUCAUAUUUCCUUUCUUGAGAUUGAUGUGUUUAAAUUGUGUAUGUCCUCUUGAUUCAGUUUGGGUUGAUCAUAUGCCUCUAGAAAUUUGUCAGUGUCUUCAAGGUUUUUUAUUUUGCUGGAUUAUAUGUUUUCAAAAUAGUUUCUAAUUGUCUUUUAUAUUUCAGUAGUGUCUGUUUUUCCUUUUUCAUCCUGAAUUUUAGUGAUUUGAGUUUUCUUUCCCCUUCUUUUCACUGGGGUAGCUAAAUAUUUGUCAAUUUUAUUUAUUUUUUUCAAAGAACCAGC